CACGUAGGGCGCAAGCGUUGUCCGGAAUUAUUGGGCGUAAAGAGCUCGUAGGCGGUCUGUUGCGUCUGCUGUGAAAACUCGGGGCUUAACCCCGAGCCUGCAGUGGAUACGGGCAGACUAGAGGUAGGUAGGGGAGAAUGGAAUUCCCGGUGUAGCGGUGAAAUGCGCAGAUAUCAGGAAGAACACCCGUGGCGAAGGCGGCUCUCUGGGACGGUACUGACGCUGAGACGCGAAAGCGUGGGGAGCGAACAGG
rnacentral:rRNA from 1 species